UACGGAGGGUGCGAGCGUUAAUCGGAAUUACUGGGCGUAAAGCGUGCGCAGGCGGUUGUGCAAGACAGAUGUGAAAUCCCCGGGCUUAACCUGGGAACUGCAUUUGUGACUGCACGGCUAGAGUGCGGCAGAGGGGGAUGGAAUUCCGCGUGUAGCAGUGAAAUGCGUAGAUAUGCGGAGGAACACCGAUGGCGAAGGCAAUCCCCUGGGCCUGCACUGACGCUCAUGCACGAAAGCGUGGGGAGCAAACAGG
rnacentral:rRNA from 1 species